rnacentral:lncRNA from 1 species
UGCCCCCGCCCCUCGUACUCUUGCCCAAUUAGAUAGGAUGAGCGGAAUCUCCUCUCUGCUUGGUCUCCGCGAGGAGGUGAGGUUUAGUCUUUUGGUGAAGAGAGGCGGCCUGGGAACUCCAGCAUGGACUGGGGCUUCUGCGUUGCCGAUCUACCCAUAUUUCCAAUGCUUUCCAAACCUUAUACUAAAGAAGAGCAUUGGUUGGUUCCUCAAAGGUAAAGAAACCUUGCUAUCAACAGUACCAACUUCCUCCAGGUAAGAUAAUAACAGGCUAUAUAUAUAUACGUAUAUAUACAUACGUAUAUGUAUAUGUAUAUAUUUUACUAAUGAGUGAAGUUAUUUAUAU